UACGUAGGGUGCAAGCGUUGUCCGGAAUUAUUGGGCGUAAAGAGCUCGUAGGUGGCUUGUCACGUCGGGUGUGAAAGCUUGGGGCUUAACUCCAGGUCUGCAUUCGAUACGGGCUGGCUAGAGGUAGGUAGGGGAGAACGGAAUUCCUGGUGUAGCGGUGAAAUGCGCAGAUAUCAGGAGGAACACCGGUGGCGAAGGCGGGUCUCUGGGCCGAAACUGACGCUGAGGAGCGAAAGCGUGGGGAGCAAACAGG
rnacentral:rRNA from 1 species